GCAGUACCGGGGAUGAGCGGUGACGGGAAGAAGACUGAGCCGGGGACUGGGGGCUGGGAUUUUUAACUCUGUUUUUAUUAGAGUAAGCCGGUGCAUUUUAAUACACGGCACAGACAACACGCACGUCACACAUACAGUGUCUGGAUGUUUUUUCUCAGGAAUCACUGAGUUCAAAAACAUCCUCCAUUCAUGCCAGAGAAAAACGACAAAUGUGGACUGUUUCAACUCCAGCCUCCUUAAAUUCCAUGGAUUAUGAGGUCCAGGCUGUUAUAAGGAUCUCAGACGUGGAGAAUAUCCGACUGAUUCUGGCCACGCUCACGUUUCCUUUACAGAUCGACAACUCCACAGAAAUUACAAACACUGAGACCACAACAGUGUGUUCAGUACAUACGACUGGAUACCAGUGCACGUGUGAGGAGAGCUUUGCUUGGUCGUAUAACAGCUGCAUUAACCAUGAGGCCUGUGAUGCCAUCGUUGGUGACACAUGUGGAUGCAUUAAUGGCCUCCCAGCAGACGGCCAGUACUGCCAGUCAAACACCACGGAGUAGAAUCUGCUGUGGCAGCAAACAGCUGGUAAUCCCACAGACAAAACAGGGUGGCAAAAGACAAUCCUUCAAGGGAAGAGGGACAGACUAGACAACUCACACAAAGAACAUAGGUGAGAACUACUGAGGACAAUCAUGGGACUCAAACAAAGGAAGAAAGUAAAACGAGACUUUAAAGGGUGCUACUUCAACCCCCAAUGGAGGACUGCAGUGUGAGGAAAAGAGUGUUUGGUUGUGCAACAACUGUGACAUACAGGACAGAGUAAAACCACAACUCAAACCUGGUGCAUAAAUGAGUUUAUCUCUGAUCACAAAUAAGUAUUGUCUUUUAGCUGUUACAAUAAAGAAAUACUGCUAUCAACAAAA